rnacentral:rRNA from 1 species
GAUGAACGCUGGCGGCGUGCCUAAUACAUGCAAGUCGAGCGAACAGACGAGGAGCUUGCUCCUCUGACGUUAGCGGCGGACGGGUGAGUAACACGUGGAUAACCUACCUAUAAGACUGGGAUAACUUCGGGAAACCGGAGCUAAUACCGGAUAAUAUAUUGAACCGCAUGGUUCAAUAGUGAAAGACGGUUUUGCUGUCACUUAUAGAUGGAUCCGCGCCGCAUUAGCUAGUUGGUAAGGUAACGGAUUACCAAGGCAACGAUGCGUAGCCGACCUGAGAGGGUGAUCGGCCACACUGGAACUGAGACACGGUCCAGACUCCUACGGGAGGCAGCAGUAGGGAAUCUUCCGCAAUGGGCGAAAGCCUGACGGAGCAACGCCGCGUGAUUGAUGAAGGUCUUCGGAUCGUAAAACUCUGUUAUUAGGGAAGAACAAAUGUGUAAGUAACUAUGCACGUCUUGACGGUACCUAAUCAGAAAGCCACGGCUAACUACGUG